CGGCGGACGGGUGAGUAAUGCCUAGGAAUCUGCCUGGUAGUGGGGGACAACGUUUCGAAAGGAACGCUAAUACCGCAUACGUCCUACGGGAGAAAGCAGGGGACCUUCGGGCCUUGCGCUAUCAGAUGAGCCUAGGUCGGAUUAGCUAGUUGGUGAGGUAAUGGCUCACCAAGGCGACGAUCCGUAACUGGUCUGAGAGGAUGAUCAGUCACACUGGAACUGAGACACGGUCCAGACUCCUACGGGAGGGCAGCAGCC
rnacentral:rRNA from 1 species